rnacentral:rRNA from 1 species
UACGGAGGGUGCAAGCGUUAUCCGGAUUUACUGGGUUUAAAGGGUGCGUAGGUGGGUUGGUAAGUCAGUGGUGAAAUACUUUCGCUUAACGAAGGAACUGCCAUUGAUACUAUCAAUCUUGAAUGUAGUGGAGGUAGGCGGAAUGCGUCAUGUAGCGGUGAAAUGCUUAGAUAUGACAUAGAACACCAAUUGCGAAGGCAGCUCACUACACAAUCAUUGACGCUGAGGCACGAAAGCGUGGGGAUCAAACAGG